UCUAAUGUGGCAGAAUAGUGUGAUGGAUUUAAACCCCAUUUAUAAAGACCUCCUUUCUUUAGAA
rnacentral:tRNA from 1 species